rnacentral:rRNA from 1 species
GAUGAACGCUAGCUACAGGCUUAACACAUGCAAGUCGAGGGACCGGCGCACGGGUGAGUAACACGUAUCCAACCUGCCCUUUACUCGGGGAUAGCCUUUCGACAGAAAGAUUAAUACCCGAUAUAAAGGAUGGGGAUGCGUUCCAUUAGGUUGUUGGUGAGGUACCGGCUCACCAAGCAUUCGAUGGAUAGGGGUUCUGAGAGGAAGGUCCCCCACGUUGGAACUGAGACACGAUCCAAACUCCUACGGGAGGCAGGAGUGAGUGAUAUUAGUCAAUGGGCGCUAACCUGAACCAGCCAAGUAGCGUGAAGGAUGAAGGCUUAUGGGUAGUAAACUUCUAUUAUAUAAGAAUAUGUAUUAUAUGAAUAAGGAUCGGCUAACUACGUGCCAGCAGCCGCGGUAAUAC